rnacentral:rRNA from 1 species
GGGGGGAGCAAGCGUUGUUCGGAAUCACUGGGCGUAAAGGGCGUGUAGGCGGUUUGGUAAGUGGGAUGUGAAAUGCCUCGGCUCACCCGAGGACCGGCAUCCCAAACUGCCAAGCUUGAGUAUGGGAGAGGAUGUGGGAAUUCCUGGUGUAGCGGUGAAAUGCGUAGAUAUCAGGAGGAACACCGGUGGCGAAGGCGCACAUCUGGCCCAAUACUGACGCUGAGGCGCGAAAGCUAGGGGAGCAAACGGGAUUAGAUACCCCGGUAGUCCUAGCCGUAAACGGUGAUCACUAGGUGUUGGAGGCAUCGACCCCUCCAGUGCCGCAGCUAACGCAUUAAGUGAUCCGCCUGGGGAGUACGGCCGCAAGGUUG